rnacentral:rRNA from 1 species
UACGGAGGGUGCGAGCGUUGUCCGGAAUUACUGGGCGUAAAGCGCUCGUAGGUGGUUUGUCACGUUGUUCGUGAAAACUCACAGCUCAACUGUGGGCGUGCGGGCGAUACGGGCAGACUGGAGUACUGCAGGGGAGACUGGAAUUCCUGGUGUAGCGGUGGAAUGCGCAGAUAUCAGGAGGAACACCGGUGGCGAAGGCGGGUCGCUGGGCAGUAACUGACGCUGAGGAGCGAAAGCGUGGGGAGCGAACAGG